rnacentral:rRNA from 1 species
UACGUAGGGUGCAAGCGUUGUCCGGAAUUAUUGGGCGUAAAGAGCUCGUAGGCGGUUUGUCGCGUCUGCUGUGAAAACGCGAGGCUCAACCUCGCGCCUGCAGUGGGUACGGGCAGACUAGAGUGCGGUAGGGGAGAUUGGAAUUCCUGGUGUAGCGGUGGAAUGCGCAGAUAUCAGGAGGAACACCGAUGGCGAAGGCAGAUCUCUGGGCCGUAACUGACGCUGAGGAGCGAAAGCGU